UAUAAAAGAAGUUGAGAUUUAAAAGCAAUUGAAAGUGGUUACUAAACACUCUUUUUUAUUAACAACUAAUUCAAUGUUUAUUUGUUUUCCCCAAUGUUCCAAACUACUAGACGUCAAAGUCAUUAAUUUUAAGUACCUUGUCAGUGUUUUGGUACCUCAAUUUUCAAAAUUACUUUAAUCUUGCAAAGAGGUUCACCACUCUGAGAAACAAAAUCUCCCUAAAUUCAACACUAGUUUACUGUGAAAAGAAAACCAUGACAACUGUUUGUACUCUUGCUUUAUUAUUACAUCCGGCCUGGUCACUAUUGGAAAUUCAAUCUAUUAUUGUUGCUAGGAGUCUGUUGCUAGGCAACCUAAAAGGGCUAUGCAGCACUUUCAGGCUGAGAAGCCUUGAAAACACCACAGGCCUUUUCCUAUGUCUCUAACCAGUUUAUUUAAAUAGAUUAACACUCUCCUUAGUCAACCCAAAUUCCAGGCAUACCCUUAAAAAAAGUUACAAUGAUAGAUUUGAAUACUGUAUACAAACACAAACCCCAAAAAAUUACACAGAAGCAAUAUAUCCAACUUACACUGCAUGGUAUAACAAAGCAGACAGCAGUAUUUCCUCUAAUCCUUCAUUUAAAUUAGCAAAGUUAAAAUCUGUUAACGCCAAACUUCUUCAAAGUUUAACCUUCACAUACUAAUCAGCUAGUAUAAUUGAGUUGCUAAACACGCUCUGCAAAGAUAUUUUAUAAUAGACCUCUGUCAGAACAAUACAUUUUCAUGCAAUUUUCAUACUCUAGAUCAUAAAAGUGGGAAAAAUGAACUUAAUUAAAUCUAAAAUGGCAGAAUAUUUAUUAUUUAUAAUUUGUAUCAAAAGAUGUCCAACAAACCUCUAAGCCGAUUUAAAGCAGUUCCCGUCUGCAGCGAGGAACAAGUUGUUCUAUGGCACCAGAAUUGAGAAAACAGUAUUUCCUCCAGCUUGGUCCUUUAAAUGGAUCCAUACAACACUGUAGGAUGGAUUGGGAACCAUGAAAACAAUAACCAGUAUGAAAUGUAUUCUGAAGACAAAAUUCUCAGAUGCUUGGGGAUAAAACAGCAAGUAUCAGCAGAAUGCAUUCAUGAAUUCAAACUUUUCCAACUACAACUUCAUUGCUUUUCCAGAAUUUUUAAUUUUGUAAAAUCUUUUUCAAAAGGAAAACUGAACUUUACACCUGUGUCAGGGUAACACUCAAACAACAGAAAAACUUGCCUUACCCCCUGUACUUAAGGUAUUUAGCCUGGAACAAUCGACAGCCACCAAUCUAGUAGAAUGUGCAACCAAAUGCCAGAAUGAAACACAUUCUAUCGACUUCUGCAGCCAAAUCCAUACAUCUGAAGAACUGCUGUGUAUAGCCAGCAUUUACUUCAAUUUACUUAAAUGGUGGUAUAAUGUGGUAUAAUAAUAUAUAAUGGUGGUAUAACCACCAUUUACUUUAAUCAGUUUACUUUUUAUGAUUUUAUAAAAAAUGAAUCUCUGUAAUAUGUUACUGUAGACAUCAUGACCUCAAAGAUGACAGGCUGCUUGGACAACACCAACAACUAGAUACAGCUAGAGGUGUAAUAGAAGCAUGUCAUGCUGUAAAACUACCUGCAGGUUUAGAAUUAAAAAGUAGGUACUGAUUAUCUGAAUUAAGUUCUGCAGUCAACAUUUUGUUAGAGCUUGUUACAUACUUCUGUGUUGCCCAAGAAUUUAUUAAAGACAAUGAAGACUUUGACAAAGACAACAGAUGCAAAGGUACGUUCAUCCACCAGUUUUCCUUAAAUGUUCUUCUGUAAGUAUAUUUACUUACAUUAUAUUGUUACUGAAUCAAAUGAAAUUUGUACACAUCAAUGGUUUAUUUACACAAAACAGAAUAGGGCCUUGAUGCAUUCAGUCUGGUGAGACACACUGGUUCUCUUCACUGACAGUUUAGUAAAAGAAAUUUGACCAGAAUCUCACUAUCAUUAGCUUAAGGAUGAGCCAAAGAUUUCUUCAUCCUUUAUUACAGAAGGUAACUUGCUUGUAAACUGGCCAUUCAAAUAAGCUGUACAAGCUGAAUAUUCCCCUGGCUCUAGGAGACAAUUCCACAUUAAUAAGAUGACUUACGGAGAUAAUGUUUCUCCCAUAAAUCUAGAACCCUAUUCUUAGGAUAUAAUUCACUACCACCAGAAUUAGACCAGACCAAAUGCAUGUACUCUCCUGACUUCCCUGAAACGCCAACAAAUAUACACCCACCACCAAAACCCCCAAAUAACUAAAGAUCUUAGUUUAAGAUACUCUUCCAGCAUUCCACUCCUCAAUAAGUGGGGUUAUUUUCUGCAGGGUCUGGAGAUUUACCUGUUCUCAUGUAUCUGCUAAAACAAACAGAUUCUGAAUUUCUCAGUUCAAGUUACUUCAAAUUACAUCAAACUGACUAAAAUGCCAUUCUUCCAAAUAUAUUUUUAUUUACAAAUUUUGUAUACAUUGACAUGAAGCAGGCUAAAGCACCCCAAAAGAGAGCUAGAGAUUAGGAAACAUGAAAGCAAAGUGGCUGCAAAUAAAAAAUCAGGCAGUCCCUGAAAGCCAAUCUUGGCACCUGUAGGCUAUUCCUACAACCAGAGAGAUUUAUGUCAGCACUGUGUGAUGCUUACCAGACUAGUUACACCCCACUAUCUCAG